rnacentral:sRNA from 1 species
GCCGAAGAACUAUGGUAGGUUAGCUGAAUGUUUGAUCCAAUUACUUUCUUAGGUUACAAGACCACGAGAAGCCGGUCCAGUAAAAGCGCAGAGAUGAUUUUUUUUGUGCUUGUGUGUGUUUCCAUUUUCUCAGCUUCCGACUGGUCUGGUUAGCCACGGAAUAAAUGGUUCACCUCUUGAAUUGUAUCAAACAGAGAGCUUGAGUCCUAACCCCCCUGGUGGAUGUCGACCGCCACACAAUGGUGUUCGCCAAAACGAUCCAUGAAUGAGGGAACCUUGGUGCAUGUGUUUUUAAGGUAAGAGGGAUCGCUUUUCUAACAUCAAGACCC